AUGCACGUCAAGAGCUGCCAGCCAUCCUCGCAGAUAAAACACCUUUCGAAAGGCUCAGGUAUGCACUGUCCACUGUCUGCUUCUGUUGUAUUUCCAGGCCAAGCAAAGCCAACUCAUUUGAUGAUUACCACAAGACCCUUAGCCACGUCGCAAGCCUCGGAAUACCACAGAAGGCCACGUUUGUGGCCGGGGCUGCAUUGUCAAGUGGACACAGUGCCCGGGGCCGGAAGAGGGACCACGCAGGACCCUGGCUGUGCGAGUGUGGUGUCGAGAGAUGGUAACUGGCAAGCCCAGCCGUGAGCCCGAGUCGGACCCUCCAACCCACACAGCUUUCCAGAGCAGCAGGCCGGUGUGCGGGCAACGUGCCGACUCCAAACCGGCAGCGCAAGAAAGGAACAGAAGCACAUCCGAGACCUAAAAUAAUCUGGGAAGUCUCUCUUCAAACAAAGAACAACUGAGAAAUGGAAGGAAAGAAUAGAGCCGCCAGACUGCUGUUUCUUCCUCCUACGAUUUUGGCCCCCAAAUCUUUAACUUUGUUGUUUCCACCGUAGAAUUCAACUCUCUUCGUAAAGCCAAUAGCUAAUAACGGCUCUUUUCGGCCCAGGCGGAUUUCUGACAUUUUGAAGCUAGCUCUCUGCCAAAUUUUCAAAGUCACCCUGUGUCCUCUUCCCCUGCAGAGUUCAUCUAGGAGCUUUCCUUCAGUAAUAACCGGCACUUCAUUAAAAAAAUGAAAAGUAAACUUUACGUGCCCUGCUGGCCGUUUGUCGUUGGAGAGUCGGGCUGGAUUGGACCCAGUGCUGUCUUUCUCAGUGGCCUAAUUUCCUGGCGAUAACAAAGAUAAAGCUUGUAGGUGAUGGAAUGCUUCUGCAAUGACUCAGAAAUAGAAGGAAAACUUGCAGUAAUCUUAUUUUCUACACUUGCCUUCUUAUCAUCGGUAAGGUCAUUAAACGUGUGCGUAUUGUUAAGCAUUUUAUCCGUUAUGAGUAGUGAGCUGUACUUGGAUUUCGCAUAUUAACUCUUCUCCAUAACGCUGUGCUCCGUCUGCAUUAUCGAUGUCACUGUAGUAUUUGGUUUAUCCUUGCAUCACGUAGCUUACAAAGCACGCUCACACCUACCCUGUCUGUGAUACUCUCACUCUGCCAUUCUUUUAUUCAUUUUUCCAGCCAGUUUUUAUUGAAUACCUAAAAUAUGCCGUGCAGAGUGGUGCGUCCACCCCCGGGUGUGCCUCACCAUUACAACUGCCCUGUUUUACACAUGCACGCCAGG
rnacentral:lncRNA from 1 species